rfam:Saitoella complicata NRRL Y-17804 DNA, contig: contig054, whole genome shotgun sequence.
UCCGAUAUGGUCUAGGGGUUAGGAUUGCCCGCUUUCACCGGGUCGGCCCGGGUUCGAUUCCCGGUAUCGGAA